GCCGCGGUAAUCCAGCUCCAAUAGCGUAUAUUAAAGUUGUUGCAGUUAAAAAGCUCGUAGUUGAAUUUCGGGGUCAGUAGAUUGGUCGUGCCACUGGUAUGCACUGGUCUUACUGGCUCCUCCUUCCUGAUGAACCGUAAUGCCAUUAAUUUGGUGUUGCGGGGAGACUGGACUGUUACUUGAAAAAAUUAGAGUGUUUAAAGCAGGCUAACGCUUGAAUACAUUAGCAUGGAAUAAUGAAAUAGGACGUUCGAUCUUAUUUUGUUAGGUUUCUAAGAUUGACGUAAUGAUUAAUAGGGAUAGUUGGGGGGCAUUAGUAUUCAAUUGUCAGAGGUGAAAUUCUUGGAUUUAUUGAAGACUAAACUACUGCGAAAGCAUUUGCCAAGGAUGUUUUCAUUAAUCAAGAACGAAAGUUAGGGGGAUCGAAGACGAUCAGAUACCGUCGUAGUCUUAACCAUAAACUAUGCCGACUAGGGAUCGGAUGAUGUUAAUUUUUUAAUGACUCAUUCGGCGCCUUACG
rnacentral:rRNA from 1 species